rnacentral:rRNA from 1 species
AGUGAACGCUGGCGGUAGGCCUAACACAUGCAAGUCGAACGGCAGCACAGUAAGAGCUUGCUCUUACGGGUGGCGAGUGGCGGACGGGUGAGGAAUACAUCGGAAUCUACUUUUUCGUGGGGGAUAACGUAGGGAAACUUACGCUAAUACCGCAUACGACCUACGGAUGAAAGCAGGGGAUCUUCGGACCUUGCGCGAUUGAAUGAGCCGAUGUCGGAUUAGCUAGUUGGCGGGGUAAAGGCCCACCAAGGCGACGAUCCGUAGCUGGUCUGAGACGAUGGUCAGCCACACUGGAACUGAGACACGGUCCAGACUCCUACGGGAGGCAGCAGUGGUGAAUAUUGGACAAUGGGCGCAAGCCUGAUCCAGCCAUACCGCGUGGGUGAAGAAGGCCUUCGGGUUUUAAAGCCCUUUUGUUGGGAAAGACAAGCAGCAGGUUAAUACCCAGCUGUUCUGACGGUACCCAAAGAAUAAGCACCGGCUAACUUCGUG